AGUGAACGCUGGCGGUAGGCCUAACACAUGCAAGUCGAACGGCAGCACAGGAGAGCUUGCUCUCUGGGUGGCGAGUGGCGGACGGGUGAGGAAUACAUCGGAAUCUGCCCAGUCGUGGGGGAUAACGUAGGGAAACUUACGCUAAUACCGCAUACGACCUUCGGGUGAAAGAGGGGGAUCGCAAGACCUCUCGCGAUUGGAUGAGCCGAUGUCGGAUUAGCUAGUUGGCGGGGUAAUGGCCCACCAAGGCGACGAUCCGUAGCUGGUCUGAGAGGAUGAUCCGCCCAACCGGAACUGAGACACGGUCCAGAAUCCUAAGGGAGGCAGCAGUUGGGAAUAUUGGACAAUGGGCGGAAGCCUGAUCCCGGCAUACCGCGUGGGUGAAGAAGGCCUUCGGGUUGUAAAGCCCUUUUGUUGGGAAAGAAAUCUUUCAGGCUAAUACCCUGGGAGGAUGACGGUACCCAAAGAAUAAGCACCGGCUAACUUCGUG
rnacentral:rRNA from 1 species